rnacentral:lncRNA from 1 species
UUUUUUUUUUUUUUUUUUAAAUAAAUAAAAUUUAUUCGUAAGGUCAAAACAGCUAAAAAAAUUAGAUUAGUCCCACUGUGGUUAUAUCUUGGCUUCGCCCCUGCUAUCAAUUGCCAACUCUCCUUGAGUAAAGAGGAGCAUAAACUUUUCAAAGCAUCAGUGACCCAAAACAAAUCUGUACUACUUUAUGUAAACAAUGAUAGCAACAAGCACCAUAUAUGUAGAAAUUGACUGUAACAAGAAAACAUAAAGCCAAAAAAGGAGAAACAAAGGAAAUUCAUUUCAGAACAUGAACAAUGAGUGUUAACAAUCUAAAUGAGAAAACCGAGAACCUCGUGCAUAUGUCACAUUAAAUGUUACUUCUUAUACACAAACUCUAAUUAGGUAGCAAAAGAAAAAAACAUAGAGGGUUUGAAAAAAUUGGAAUAAAUUAAAUUAUUUUUAAUUUGUCCACUAAAUUAAUCUCCAAAACAUCAGUAAAAACACGCAAAUUCGUAAUUUACAUACAUUUUUAGCAACAAUAAAUAAAACCCAUAACAUUUCACACAUAAUUCCCAGAAAAGCAAUCUUUUCCCCAAAAAAUUUACAAUCGACCUACCCCAAAAGACAAACUUAACACAAACGAAUGAAGAGUGAAAUUGACAGUAAAAGAGAAAUCAUACCGUCAGUUUCCAGGCAAAUUCGGCAUUGAAUUUGCUCCCCAGGCCCCGCUUCAAGGUCGAUUUCCAAAGGUUCGUUAAUCGGAGGAUUCAUCAGUGGUGAAGAAUCGGAGAGAUCACCACCCAUUUUAUUCCACGCUAAUCUUAACUCACGCUUCCACUAAUCGAACCCUGAAAUGGUGAAAGAUAAUUAUUUUAAUCCAAUUGAGUGAUUCAAUCACACAAAGAGGGUAAAACCCUUAAUUCUCCGUUGACUCUGUGUGUAAUUGUGUGUGUAUUAACAGAUAGAUACAAAUAAAUGUAUCUACUGUUUUGGUUUUGUAGAGGAAGGUCCGAGGGGUUUAGACAUGAGACCAAGAAAGAGGAAAGUGCUGCGAAAAUCUUUU